ACGGAAACGCACGUUAUUGUAAUCAUUUCACCAUAAUAUGGGCGUAUAUUUAUAUUGUUGACAAAGCAACACUAUCAACUGAAUUCCGCUCCGAAUCGUUUUUUCGUUAACAAUGGUUCAUCGUUGCUUACAGGUAUACAUUAAACUCCCGUCUGUGUCCUAGCUUUCAAACUCCCCGCCUACAACAGUGAUUGCGGUCACACGUGAAGUGUGUCCGUUUUUUUUUUUUUUUUUUUUUUUUUUCAAACCGUUAUCACCAGAAACGCAAUCGUCCGAAAUAUUUCAAUCGCGGAUAGUGACUAUAAUAAUCUCGCGGACAACGUUGUCUGCUGCAACGGGAAACGUUGCUGUGGUUAUUCGGUCGCGCGAAACAACGACGACGGCCGUAUAAUCGAUUGUAUCGAUUACGGCGGUGUGAUGUUAUAACCCCGCCAGUUUAAUAAUAAACAUCCGACCGUUAUUCGCGGGGCGGGAACCAAUUGAUUAUCUCCCCGUUUGUCCGAUAAUCGGUGAAAUUUAUAGUACCGUGUAACCGUCGUCUCUGCAAUAAUGCUCGGGAUGAUGUAUUUUAAGUCGCGUGUAUCUGUAUUAUAAUAAUAUAAUUCAUUAUGAUAUUCGGCCAUAAAGAUCGGGUGGUCCGCUGCGGUACCGUCAAACAGUGCGGAAACUAUCGUUAGAAUUUCGUAUAUUUUGAAUUAAUUCUGCCCGCGUUAAUAGUGCGCGAUGGCGACUGGCCGUAGUGGCGGCGGCGGCGGCGGCGGCGGCGGUGGCGGCGGUGGCGGUGGUCGAUUGCUUUAUACAAACUUUGAAAUAAUAAUUAGUUCCUGUUCUUAAUUUCGCGAUAAAUUAAGAAGAAAAC